rnacentral:rRNA from 1 species
UACGUAGGGAGCAAGCGUUGUCCGGAAUCAUUGGGCGUAAAGCGCGCGUAGGCGGCCCCGUAAGUCCGCUGUGAAAGUCAAAGGCUCAACCUUCGAAAGCCGAUGGAUACUGUGUGACUUGAGUACGGAAGAGGAGAGUGGAAUUCCUGGUGUAGCGGUGAAAUGCGCAGAUAUCAGGAGGAACACCAACGGCGAAGGCAGCUCUCUGGGACGUUACUGACGCUGAGGCGCGAAAGCGUGGGGAGCAAACAGG